UCCGAGUUGACCCCGGCAGUCUUCGAUGAGUCCCCGGCAUAACCCGCUGGCAACAUCGAACGAGGGUUGCGCUCGUUGCGGGACUUAACCCAACAUCUCACGACACGAGCUGACGACAGCCAUGCAGCACCUAACCAUAGAUUCUCCGAAGAGCACCCCGAUACUUCUACCAGGUUUCUAUACUUUCUAGCCCAGGUAAGGUUCUUCGCGUUGCGUCGAAUUAAACCACAUGCUCCACCGCUUGUGCGGGCCCCCGUCAAUUCCUUUGAGUUUCAACCUUGCGGUCGUACUCCCCAGGCGGGGUACUUCCUGCGUUAGCGCCGGCACCCAGAGGGUCGCUCCCCCAGGCACCUAGUACCCAUCGUUUACGGCGUGGACUAC
rnacentral:misc_RNA from 1 species